CUUGACUAACCAUAAGAGGUCCAGCCUGCCCAGUGACUCAGUUCAACGGCCGCGGUAUCCUAACCGUGCGAAGGUAGCGUAAUCACUUGUUCUUUAAAUGAGGACUAGUAUGAACGGCACCACGAGGGUUAUACUGUCUCCUCUUUCCAAUCAGUGAAACUAAUCUCCCCGUGAAGAAGCGGGGAUAAGACUAUAAGACGAGAAGACCCUAUGGAGCUUUAAAUAAUGCAACAACUGCUGUAAUUUUCUUAGACUUCAGGGUCCAUAACUCUAUAUCAGCACUCUGGCAGCAAAUUUUAGGUUGGGGUGACCGCGGAGCAAAACACAACCUCCACGCUGAAAGAAUUCUACGUUCUUAGCCACGAGCUACUACUCUAAGCACCAACAUAUUGACAUCUUUUGACCCA
rnacentral:rRNA from 1 species